CGGGGUGAGCGGCGGACGGGUGAGUAACGCGUGGGUAACCUGCCCUGUACACACGGAUAACAUACCGAAAGGUAUGCUAAUACGAGAUAAUAUAUUUUAAUCGCAUGGUUAAGAUAUCAAAGCUCGGGCGGUACAGGAUGGACCCGCGUCUGAUUAGCUAGUUGGUGAGGUAAUGGCUCACCAAGGCGACGAUCAGUAGCCGACCUGAGAGGGUGAUCGGCCACACUGGAGCUGAGACACGGUCCAGACUCCUACGGGAGGCAGCAGUGGGGAAUAUUGCACAAUGGGCGAAAGCCUGAUGCAGCAACGCCGCGUGAGCGAUGAAGGCCUUCGGGUCGUAAAGCUCUGUCCUCAAGGAAGAUAAUGACGGUACUUGAGGAGGAAGCCCCGGCUAACUACGUGCCAGCAGCCGCGGUAAUACGUAGGGGGCGAGCGUUGUCCGGAAUUACUGGGCGUAAAGGGUGCGUAGGCGGCCCUUUAAGUCGGAUGUGAAAGCCCGCGGCUUAACCGCGGAAUGGCAUUCGAAACUGGAGGGCUUGAGUGUCGGAGAGGGUAGUGGAAUUCCCAGUGUAGCGGUGAAAUGCGUAGAUAUUGGGAGGAACACCAGUGGCGAAGGCGACUACCUGGACGAUAACUGACGCUGAGGCACGAAAGCUAGGGGAGCAAACAGGAUUAGAUACCCUGGUAGUCCUAGCCGUAAACGAUGGGUACUAGGUGUGGGUGGUUUCGAUACCAUCCGUGCCGUAGUUAACGCAUUAAGUACCCCGCCUGGGGAGUACGUGCGCAAGCAUGAAACUCAAAUGAAUUGACGG
rnacentral:rRNA from 1 species